CCUGCCGUCUACUCUUGGACAGCCUUCUGAAAGGAAGAUUAGUACAAGAUGGCAUCAUGAGUCCGCAUGUUCACAUGAUUAAAGGUAUUCCGGUAGACGAUGGGGAUGCGUUCCAUUAGAUAGUAGGCGGGGUAACGGCCCACCUAGUCUUCGAUGGAUAGGGGUUCUGAGAGGAAGGUCCCCCACAUUGGAACUGAGACACGGUCCAAACUCCUACGGGAGGCAGCAGUGAGGAAUAUUGGUCAAUGGGCGAGAGCCUGAACCAGCCAAGUAGCGUGAAGGAUGACUGCCCUACGGGUUGUAAACUUCUUUUAUAAAGGAAUAAAGUCGGGUAUGGAUACCCGUUUGCAUGUACUUUAUGAAUAAGGAUCGGCUAACUCCGUGCCAGCAGCCGCGGUAAUACGGAGGAUCCGAGCGUUAUCCGGAUUUAUUGGGUUUAAAGGGAGCGUAGAUGGAUGUUUAAGUCAGUUGUGAAAGUUUGCGGCUCAACCGUAAAAUUGCAGUUGAUACUGGAUAUCUUGAGUGCAGUUGAGGCAGGCGGAAUUCGUGGUGUAGCGGUGAAAUGCUUAGAUAUCACGAAGAACUCCGAUUGCGAAGGCAGCCUGCUAAGCUGCAACUGACAUUGAGGCUCGAAAGUGUGGGUAUCAAACAGGAUUAGAUACCCUGGUAGUCCACACGGUAAACGAUGAAUACUCGCUGUUUGCGAUAUACUGCAAGCGGCCAAGCGAAAGCGUUAAGUAUUCCACCUGGGGAGUACGCCGGCAACGGUGAAACUCAAAGGAAUUGACGGGGGCCCGCACAAGCGGAGGAACAUGUGGUUUAAUUCGAUGAUACGCGAGGAACCUUACCCGGGCUUAAAUUGCAGAUGAAUUACGGUGAAAGCCGUAAGCCGCAAGGCAUCUGUGAAGGUGCUGCAUGGUUGUCGUCAGCUCGUGCCGUGAGGUGUCGGCUUAAGUGCCAUAACGAGCGCAACCCUUGUUGUCAGUUACUAACAGGUUCCGCUGAGGACUCUGACAAGACUGCCAUCGUAAGAUGUGAGGAAGGUGGGGAUGACGUCAAAUCAGCACGGCCCUUACGUCCGGGGCUACACACGUGUUACAAUGGGGGGUACAGAGGGCCGCUACCACGCGAGUGGAUGCCAAUCCCCAAAACCUCUCUCAGUUCGGACUGGAGUCUGCAACCCGACUCCACGAAGCUGGAUUCGCUAGUAAUCGCGCAUCAGCCACGGCGCGGUGAAUACGUUCCCGGGCCUUGUACACACCGCCCGUCAAGCCAUGGGAGCCGGGGGUACCUGAAGUGCGUAACCGCGAGGAGCGCCCUAGGGUAAAACUGGUGACUGGGGCUAAGUCGUAACAAGGUAGCCG
rnacentral:rRNA from 1 species